rnacentral:rRNA from 1 species
AUUGAACGCUGGCGGCAGGCUUAACACAUGCAAGUCGAGCGGGGUGAUGGUGCUUGCACUAUCACUUAGCGGCGGACGGGUGAGUAAUGCUUAGGAAUCUGCCUAUUAGUGGGGGACAACAUCUCGAAAGGGAUGCUAAUACCGCAUACGUCCUACGGGAGAAAGCAGGGGAUCACUUGUGACCUUGCGCUAAUAGAUGAGCCUAAGUCGGAUUAGCUAGUUGGUGGGGUAAGGGCCUACCAAGGCGACGAUCUGUAGCGGGUCUGAGAGGAUGAUCCGCCACACUAGGACUGGGACACGGCCCAGACUCCUACGGGAGGCAGCAGUGGGGAAUAUUGGACAAUGGGGGGAACCCUGAUCCAGCCAUGCCGCGUGUGUGAAGAAGGCCUUAUGGUUGUAAAGCACUUUAAGCGAGGAGGAGGCUCUUUUGGUUAAUACCCAAGAUGAGUGGACGUUACUCGCAGAAUAAGCACCGGCUAACUCUGUGCCAGCCGCCGCCGUAA